rnacentral:rRNA from 1 species
GGCUACACACGUGCUACAAUGGGUAGUACAGAGAGUCGCAAAGCCGCGAGGUGGAGCUAAUCUCAGAAAACUAUUCUUAGUUCGGAUUGUACUCUGCAACUCGAGUACAUGAAGUUGGAAUCGCUAGUAAUCGCGAAUCAGCAAUGUCGCGGUGAAUACGUCCUCGGGUCUUGUACACACCGCCCGUCACACCACGAGAGUUGGUUGCACCUGAAGUAGCAGGCCUAACCGUAAGGAGGGAUGCUCCGAGGGUGUGAUUAGCGAUUGGGGUGAAGUCGUAACAAGGUAUCCGUACGGGAACGU